rnacentral:rRNA from 1 species
AUGUCGACGGCGGCAGGACCAGCCGGCGACCUACCCGCCACGACGGCCUUGCCCGGCGGCGUUGCUCCUGCCGUUCCGGCCGUGGCCGACGAGCAUAUAUGUGUCGACGUUCCUCGGGACGGCGCGGCGGCGGGGGCGGGGGCGGGGCCGGGAGGCGAAGACGGCUCCGGCGACGAGGAGCAGCGGCGGAACCGGCGCAGGUUCCUCCUCGGCGGCCAGCUGCAGUCCAACGCCACCUCCCAGGUCGCGCUCGUCGGCACCGACUUCUGCCCCAUCGAGAGCCUCGACUACGAGCUGAUCGAGAACGACGUGUUCAAGCAGGACUGGCGGGCGCAGGGGCGGGGCCACAUCCUGCGCUACUUCGCGCUCAAGUGGGCGCUCUGCUUCCUUGUCGGCGCGCUCACCGCCGCCGCCGCCUUCGUCGCCAACCUCGGCGUCGAGAACGUCGCCGGCGCCAAGUUCGUCGUCACCUCCAACCGCAUGUUCGCGCGCAGGUUUGAAUCGGCGUUUCUGGUCUUCCUGUUUUCGAAUUUCCUGCUCACAAUGUUCGCCACGGUGCUGACGAUGUACGUGGCGCCCGCGGCGGCCGGCUCCGGCAUCCCGGAGGUGAAGGCCUACUUGAACGGCGUCGACGCACCCAACAUUUUCUGUUUCAAGACUCUGGUGGUGAAGGUUGUGGGAUGCAUUGCUGCAGUAUCAUCAUCACUGCAUGUGGGAAAAGCUGGUCCUCUGGUACACACAGGUGCAUGCAUUGCAUCAAUACUUGGGCAAGGUGGCUCGCGUAAAUAUCGCAUGACAUGUAAAUGGCUAAGGCACUUCAAGAAUGAUAGGGAUCGGAGGGACCUUGUCACUUGUGGUGCUGGUGCUGGUAUUGCUGGUGCUUUCAGGGCUCCAGUCGCCGGAGUUCUUUUUGCUCUGGAAACAGUGUCUUCACGAUGGAGGAGUGCCCUACUCUGGCGAGCUUUCUUCACAACGGCAGUUGUUGCCGUUGUGCUUAGGGCAUUAAUAGACAUCUGUAAAAGAGGCCGGUGUGGCUUGUUCGGGAAAGGCGGUCUUAUAAUGUUUGAUGUGACUUCGGGCUAUGUCAACUAUCAUGUGAUUGAUUUACCUCCGGUAAUCACUCUAGCAGUUUUUGGAGGAGUACUGGGGAGCUUGUACAACUUCUUCCUUGACAAGGUUCUUCGUCUCUACAAUGUUAUCAACGAGAAAGGUCGAACUUACAGACUACUCCUGGCUGCAACAGUCUCCGUCUGUACUUCAUGUUGCCUCUUUGGCUUACCAUGGCUUGCAGCUUGCAAACCUUGCCCAGCUGACUCAAGAGAAGCUUGUCCAUCAAUAGGGAGAUCUGGAAAUUUCAAGAAGUUCCAGUGUCCAAUGCAUAACUACAAUGACUUGGCUAGCCUGUUCUUUAACACCAACGAUGACACCAUUAGAAACCUCUACAGUAACGGCACUGACCAUGAGUUCCAUAUCACCUCGAUCCUUGUGUUCUUUAUUGCAUCAUAUUUUCUGGGCAUUUUCAGCUAUGGCCUCGCCUUACCAUCUGGCCUUUUCGUACCUGUUAUUUUAACUGGUGCAGCUUACGGUCGUCUGGUUGGCAUGCUGAUUGGGUCGCAAUCAACUUUGGAUCAUGGUCUUUUUGCGGUUCUUGGUUCUGCUGCCCUUCUAGGUGGAUCGAUGAGAAUGACUGUCUCAGUUUGUGUUGUCAUCCUAGAACUGACAAAUAAUCUGCUGAUGCUUCCUCUGGUUAUGCUGGUCCUUAUCAUAUCAAAGACAGUGGCAGAUGCUUUUAAUGCAAAUGUCUAUGAUCUGCUUGUUAAAUUGAAGGGUUUUCCUUUUCUUGAAGGGCAUGCUGAACCCUACAUGCGACAACUGUCAGUUAGUGAUGUUGUAACUGGCCCUCUACAGACAUUCAAUGGCAUAGAGAAGGUUGGCCGUAUUGUGGAUACCUUGAAGGCAACCGGUCAUAAUGGUUUCCCUGUCGUUGAUGAGCCACCGUUUUCAGAUACUCCUCUGUUAUAUGGUCUAGUUCUUCGGUCGCACCUGCUUGUUCUGUUGAGGAAGAAAGAGUUCAUCAGUAGUUCCACAGCUUCAGCAUCAGAUGCUUCAAAGCAUUUCUCACCUGAGGAUUUUGCUAAACGUGGUUCAGGAAAGCAUGACAGAAUUGAGGACAUUGAAUUAACUGCAGAAGAACUGGAAAUGUUUGUAGACUUGCAUCCUUUCACAAACACAUCUCCUUACACUGUGGUUGAGACCAUGUCCUUGGCUAAAGCUCUUAUACUUUUUCGUGAAGUUGGAUUAAGACACCUUUUGGUUCUUCCAAAAACUUCCAAGAGGGCGCCUGUUGUUGGCAUAUUAACACGGCAUGACUUCAUGCCUGAGCACGUAUUGGGUCUCCAUCCGUACCUGUUCAAGAGCAGAUGGAAGAAGGUGCGAUUUGGCAAGACAGCCUUCUCCAACUUCUUUUGA